CUACGUAGGUGGCAAGCGUUGUCCGGAAUUAUUGGGCGUAAAGCGCGCGCAGGUGGUUCCUUAAGUCUGAUGUGAAAGCCCCCGGCUCAACCGGGGAGGGUCAUUGGAAACUGGGGAACUUGAGUGCAGAAGAGGAUAGUGGAAUUCCAAGUGUAGCGGUGAAAUGCGUAGAGAUUUGGGGGAACACCAGUGGCGAAGGCGACUGUCUGGUCUGUAACUGACACUGAGGCGCGAAAGCGUGGGGAGCAAACAGGAUUAGAUACCCUGGUAGUCCACGCCGUAAACGAUGAGUGCUAAGUGUUGGGGGGUUUCCGCCCCUCAGUGCUGCAGCUAACGCAUUAAGCACUCCGCCUGGGGAGUACGGUCGCAAGACUGAAACUCAAAUGAAUUGACGGGG
rnacentral:rRNA from 1 species